AGAGCCCUAUCUCCCUAAGACU
rnacentral:tRNA from 3 species